CGGGGGGCUGCAGCUGUGGGGAAUAUUGCACAAUGGAGGAAACUCUGAUGCAGCAACGCCGCGUGGAGGAUGACACUUUUCGGAGCGUAAACUCCUUUUAUAUAGGAAGAAGAUGACGGUACUAUAUGAAUAAGCGCCGGCUAACUCCGUGCCAGCAGCCGCGGUAAUACGGAGGGCGCAAGCGUUACUCGGAAUCACUGGGCGUAAAGAGCGUGUAGGCGGAUUAAAAAGUCAGAAGUGAAAUCCUAUAGCUUAACUAUAGAACUGCUUCUGAAACUCUUAAUCUAGAAUAUGGGAGAGGUAGAGGGAAUUUCUGGUGUAGGGGUAAUAUCCGUAGAGAUCAGAAGGAAUACCGAUUGCGAAGGCGAUCUACUAGAACAUUAUUGACGCUGAGACGCGAAAGCGUGGGGAGCAAACAGGAUUAGAUACCCCCGUAGUC
rnacentral:rRNA from 1 species